CGCUGUUAUCCACUCUUUUGCAGGCCUGCUUACAACAAAAUGAGAAAAAGAGAGCUGAGUAUUAGCUCAUCAAAGUACAAAACAAAAUCACCUGACAGGUUUUUUCUAAGUGCACUGUUAUAAAAACUAUGGGCCCUUUUAGACAUGUCCAUGUUUAUCAAAACUCCCUCUAUUAAAAAUAAAACAACAACCUCAAAAAUCUUCAACAAUCUGAAAUUUCACCCGUUCGACACACUGAAAACCUCGCCAAAAGCUGCACCGUUUCGUACACAACAAUAUCCCCCUUUAGGCACUUUACCAUACUCAGAUUCAGCCUAAGAUCUUACAACAAUGUGUCAACACUAAUUUAUAAACCUCCUAAUCAAAUUUGCACCUCUGAACAAUCUACCCCUCCUUUAAGGCCUCAAUCACACACACACAGCAAGCUCCUCUGUCCACAUUCACACGAGCUCUCAAACUUUUUCCAUACUCAGCCAUAUCUCAACAAUUUAACUUGGCACAAGAAAUACUUUUUAAACCUCAUGCCACUCAUUCAAUUAUUUUCAUUUUCUUUCUAUACUAAUCACUUGUUUUGAUCACUCAGUGCAAAAGCACUGCUGAGUCAC
ensembl:lncRNA